CGAAAAUGUAACGGGGCUCAAGAUACGUACCGAAGCUUAGGGUGUGCGCAAGCACGCGGUAGCGGAGCGUUCCGUAAGCCUGUGAAGCGGGAGGGUAACCGACCGUGGAGGUAUCGGAAGUGCGAAUGCAGACAUGAGUAGCGAUAAAGAGGGUGAGAUGCCCUCUCGCCGAAAGACCAAGGGUUCCUGCGCAACGUUAAUCGACGCAGGGUUAGUCGGUCCCUAAGGCGAGGCUGAAAAGCGUAGUCGAUGGAAAACAGGUUAA
rnacentral:rRNA from 1 species